AGUGAAUAGAUACCCAGGUAGUCCACGCCGUAAACGAUGGAUACUAGCUGUUCGGAGCAAAUCUGAGUGGCUAAAGCGAAAGUGAUAAGUAUCCCACCUGGGGAGUACGCACGCAAGUGUGAAACUCAAAGGAAUUGACGGGGGCCCGCACUAAGCGGUGGAGCAUGUGGUUUAAUUCGAUGAUACGCGAGGAACCUUACCAGGGCUUAAAUGUAGAUUGACAGGACUGGAAACAGUUUUUCUUCGGACAAUUUACAAGGUGCUGCAUGGUUGUCGUCAGCUCGUGCCGUGAGGUGUCAGGUUAAGUCCUAUAACGAGCGCAACCCCUGUCGUUAGUUGCCAGCGAGUCAUGUCGGGAACUCUAACGAGACUGCCAGUGUAAACUGUGAGGAAGGUGGGGAUGACGUCAAAUCAUCACGGCCCUUACGUCCUGGGCCACACACGUGCUACAAUGGUAGGUACAGAGAGCAGCCACUGCGCGAGCAGGAGCGAAUCUACAAAACCUAUCUCAGUUCGGAUCGGA
rnacentral:rRNA from 1 species